rnacentral:rRNA from 1 species
GAUGAACGCUGGCGGUCUGCUUAACACAUGCAAGUCGAACGAACUCUUUGAGUUAGUGGCGGACGGGUGAGUAACACGUGAGAAUCCGCCCCUAGGUCGGGGACAACAGAGGGAAACUUCUGCUAAUCCCGGAUGAGCCGAGAGGUAAAAGAUUUAUUGCCUAGGGAUGAGCUCGCGUCUGAUUAGCUAGUUGGUGUGGUAAUGGCGUACCAAGGCAACGAUCAGUAGCUGGUCUGAGAGGAUGAUCAGCCACACUGGGACUGAGACACGGCCCAGACUCCUACGGGAGGCAGCAGUGGGGAAUUUUCCGCAAUGGGCGAAAGCCUGACGGAGCAAGACCGCGUGGGGGAGGAAUGCCUUUGGGUUGUAAACCCCUUUUCUCAGGGAAGAAGAAAGUGACGGUACCUGAGGAAUCAGCCUCGGCUAACUCCGUGCCAGCCGCCGCCGUAACAC